GACGAACGCUGGCGACGUGCUUAACACAUGCAAGUCGAACGGAAAGGCCCUGCUUUUGUGGGGUGCUCGAGUGGCGAACGGGUGAGUAACACGUGAGUAACCUGCCCUUGACUUUGGGAUAACUUCAGGAAACUGGGGCUAAUACCGGAUAGGAGCUCCUGCUGCAUGGUGGGGGUUGGAAAGUUUCGGCGGUUGGGGAUGGACUCGCGGCUUAUCAGCUUGUUGGUGGGGUAGUGGCUUACCAAGGCUUUGACGGGUAGCCGGCCUGAGAGGGUGACCGGCCACAUUGGGACUGCGAGACGGCCCAGACGCCUACGGGAGGCAGCAGUGGGGAAUAUUGCACAAUGGGCGGAAGCCUGAUGCAGCAACGCCGCGUGCGGGAUGACGGCCUUCGGGUUGUAAACCGCUUUCGCCUGUGACGAAGCGGGAGUGACGGUAAUGGGUAAAGAAGCACCGGCUAACUACGUG
rnacentral:rRNA from 1 species